rnacentral:lncRNA from 1 species
GGCAAUAAAGGCCCUAAUGAAGUACUUUCAUUAGGAAGAAAAUAUCCACACGUCUGGAAGAAAUAGUGUGAUGCCCCCUGUAAAGAAACCAGUGAAUGUAACGUUUCAAAUAUGGAGCAGCCACAGCAGACUUCUGUAAUUCUAGGUCAACAAUGAAUUAAUAGAAUCAGUUUCUUGUUAAAAUAACUGUCUUUUGCCUUCAUCAAUAUUUUAGAUACCCUUACUGGCUACCUGUCUUAUGGAAAGCUAUGUAAUUAUACUAUUUUGAGUUGGAUUU